rnacentral:rRNA from 1 species
GGCGAAAGGGUGAGUAAUGCUUGGGUAACUUACCCCUUGGACUGGAAUAGCCACUGGAAACGGUGGGUAAUGCCAGAUGGUCUCGAGGAUGCUGCGGCAUUCACGAGUAAAGCGGGCUUCGGCUCGCACCGAGGGAGAGGCCCGAGUCCUACCAGCUUGUUGGUGAGGUAAUGGCUCACCAAGGCGAAGACGGGUAGCCGGACUGAGAGGUUGGCCGGCCACACUGGCACUGAGACACUGGCCAGACUCCUACGGGAGGCUGCAGUCGAGAAUCUUCCGCAAUGGACGAAAGUCCGACGGAGCGACGCCGCGUGGAGGAAGAAGGCCUUCGGGUUGUAAACUCCUGUCAGAGCUUAUGAACCCCUGGUGGUUAAUACCCAUCAGGCUGACAAAGGGCUCAAAGGAAGCCACAGCUAACUUCGUGCCAGCAGCUGCGGUAAUACGAAGGUGGCGAGCGUUGUUCGGAUUCACUGGGCAUAAAGGGCGCGUAGGCUGCUUGGUAAGCGGUGUGUGAAAGCCCGGGGCUCAACCCCGGAACUGCAGACCGAACUGCCGAGCUAGAGAACGAGAGGGGACUGUGGAACUCUA